AAAAUUAUAAUUAUAACUUCACGUUGGUAACUGGACAAGGACAACAAUGCCACCAGUGGCUUCUGAGGGUUUCCUUCUAAUGCACAGGAAGCAUUCAUCAGGAAGUGCUUGAAAGGUGUGCGUGUAUUAAAUAUCCGGUCCUUGUCCUGUCACCAUUACUAAGAUGUCUGGAUAUGUAAAAGCCUGUAUGAUGAUAAGCAAAUACUGACUGAAUGUGGACUUAGUCUCUUGACAUGUCUGGACUGGCUUGAUUUACUUCUUCUGUUGGAUACACAUUUUUAUCAAUGGAUGGCGUGCUUGGGAUGCAGGUUUUGGAGACAUUUAAAAUAAAGGUGUGAGAAGUUGGGUUGGCUACAAGUCCAGGAGUAAAGAGUUUUAGCAGAGGCAGACCUGAAACCGUGGAGAUUUCCAGGCAUUUAUGGUAGCGGUCAUGGCAACUGGCUGACCUUUGAGAGGCAGCUGGAUGGAUACUCAUGGGAUAGAAGAUCAACUUUGAAUUUUAAUAAAUUUUUAUAAACCAUCUGAUCAAGUCUGCUUAUUUCAUCUUAAUGGGAUGAAGGAAAAUAGGACAUUUUUGUGAGUAAGACCCCAUGGCAGCAUACUGCCAACUCACCUUUUCAUGUGUACUUCAUAGAUUCAUAGGAUGUCUUCGUCUUUGAAAGUGCAGUUUAUGCUGAGAAAUAAACUAUAGACCUUCAGUGUUCCCCUUACUGCCCAAAAUGGGCAGGUGAGCCAUUGAAACAUGAGCUUACACAGAUAAAAUUGCAAAGAAAAGCAGGUGAUCUUAAUGUAGAGAGUGCUGAAGCUAGAAACCUCCAUUGGCUGUAAACACCUUGGUGCUUGGUCUCUGGCUAAAAUUGAUGAGAGUCCCCCUGACUGGCUGUCUCAGGGAUGAAUCCCUCAACAGGAAAGAGCCUAGAAAGAACAAGGGGGGGUGUUGAAAAAUUUUGAGGUUGGCACUGUGGUUAUAGCAAUGUCCUUUAUCUUUAGAAGAUCAAUUAAUUUUUGCAAAUAAAAUGUUGGAAGCAUACAUUAGGGCAAGUGAGAAUAUUAGUUAUCCAGUGGGUUGCCAGUGAAUUUCUCUAAGAAACCAUUAACUGGCUUCUUGCAGCUUUGAAAAUCCUAGUCAAUACCUGCCAAUCAAAUUCCAGCUCACUUUUGAGCUGUGAUUUCACAUUUUCUCCAAGUAGGCGCUGUUUUGAGUUCUAACACUUCCAGGGUAUGAGGAAAUAUUUCAAGUUAGCGCUAGCUGCAUUUAGACCCCUACUUUGAAGUUCCUUUGGACCAGUGGUUCUCAACCUUCCUAAUGCCGUGACCCUUUAAUACAGUUCCUCAUGUUGUGGGGACCCCCGAUUUCAUUGCUACAAAUUGAACAUAAUUAAAGCAUAGUGAUAAAUCACAAAAACAAUAUGUAAUUAUAUGUUUUCCAAUGGUCUUAGGUGACCCCUGUAAAAGGGUCAUUUGACCCCCAAAGGGGUCGCGACCUACAGGUUGAGAACCGCUGCUUUAGGCUUAAUGCUUGUUCUGCAGGAAAAUUUAAAUAUUCAUAUUCAUUUCCGUUCCUGGUUCCUACUCAAAUGUCCUGCCACAAGGCCCUGAGACAUCCUGAAAAUGGACCAUCCACACCAGCACUACCUCUUAAAUUAUGCACUUGUGCAUGUUUUCACCUAAUAAGAUGUUACUCCAUGAGAGGGAUUUGGUCUGUUGUAUUGCAGUAUUUCCCAAGCUUUUAUCAGUAGGUGGUUAUAUUUAUUGAAUGAAGAGUGAUCAGAUGAAGUCUUUGAGAAGUUUUAGUGACUUGAGUGCCAAAAGGCUGACGAUAAAAUACCCUGGUCUCGAAAUGGGGAAUAAGUCUGAGCUAAAGCAAAAUCCAGCAUGAAGAAGGUCCAUGGCCUGGAUGGCUGCAGUUAGUCAACUGGCUGGGGGAAGAUUGCCCACAGAGUGGUUGGUUAAUUGAAGCAGUGAACUUGAAGUAUAUGAACUACAACCAUUAGUCCUGUCAUGUUAAUAAGCUUGGGUGAUGAAAGAAACGACUUUUUUGGACAAUGAACUAUAUGCUGUUUAAGAUAGCCCACAGAGUGCUUAAUGAAGCAUUGAGUCUCAAGUAUAUGAGAAAAAUAACUUGAACAAUUACUAUAUUGUUUUCAUCCUUUUGAUGACAGCAGAUUAGGAAUUGUCUUCAUUUUUUACAGAUAGAGAAUCAAGUUAACAGGCCACAAGGGUAACAGUCAAUAUACGGCAACAUGUUUGUAGUGAACAGAAGGCACUGAAGGAUCUCCCGGUGUGGGAAAGGGCCAAAACCCCACUAGAAAGACUAGGCAGGAAAGACUAGUUUUGGUUUGAAAGUCCCAGUGGUGUACUCAAAGGGAAAGUUGGGGAGACAAACCUUGUAUCCAAAAGUGGGACUAGGUUGGUUUAAAAAUGUGACCUUUGGUGAACACCAGUGGGAAGUUGGACUAUUAUGUGCCCUCAUUCCAGAAACAUGUAACUAACCUGUCACAUCAUGGGGAGGUGUGGGAGGUGCUAUUACAGCACUGGUAACUAGUAUGAAUCCCUGGUUCCCAGUUUUAUACUUCCAAUAUCAUUGAUUUGGGCCCCUGAAAAAGUUACACCCAUUUACUAAUGGAUAUCUUGUAAUUUGAGGAAAAGAUCACAUUGACCCUGACCUCAACCCCAUCACAGCCAACCAUGGGGAAUUUGAGUAUGUUUCACUGCAUACCCUGCCAAAAAAAAAUGUCUCAUGUAGUUAAAUUCAGGCUGAAAGGCUGGGUUCCAUAAUUCAAAACCAGUGGUUUGUUCUUAAAAACUUAUCACAGCUUUUAAGGAAAUCUUAUUAAAGGAAUUCUCAAGCUCCUUAACAUCUCGGGGCUUAAAUGGUAAAUUAUGUUUAUUCCAGACAAAAAGCUAGAGGAAGUGGUGUACUGUGCUGUACAAAUGAGAAAGCUGAGACUCUGGUUUACCCCAGGCAUUGAAAGGUCAAGGCUAAGAAGCCAGCAUAGCAACAAGCUGCCAGCAUUUGAGGGGUCUGCUGUAAGGCCUUCCCUAUUGGUAAGGCUGGUCCUUCUCUGCAUGACCUCACAGUUGACUGAAUCAUAUCAAUAUGAUCUGUU